GACGUAGGGCGCAAGCGUUGUCCGGAUUUAUUGGGCGUAAAGAGCGUGUAGGCGGCCAAGCAGGUCCGCUGUGAAAACUCGAGGCUCAACCUCGAGACGUCGGUGGAAACCGUUUGGCUAGAGUCCGGAAGAGGAGAGUGGAAUUCCCGGUGUAGCGGUGAAAUGCGCAGAUAUCGGGAAGAACACCCGUGGCGAAGGCGGCUCUCUGGGACGGUACUGACGCUGAGACGCGAAAGCGUGGGGAGCGAACAGG
rnacentral:rRNA from 1 species